GACGAACGCUGGCGGCGUGCUUAACACAUGCAAGUCGAACGGUAAGGCCCUUCGGGGUACACGAGUGGCGAACGGGUGAGUAACACGUGGGUGAUCUGCCCUGCACUUCGGGAUAAGCCUGGGAAACUGGGUCUAAUACCGGAUAGGACUCCUGCCUGCAUGGGUGGGGGUGGAAAGCUUUUGCGGUGUGGGAUGGGCCCGCGGCCUAUCAGCUUGUUGGUGGGGUGAUGGCCUACCAAGGCGACGACGGGUAGCCGGCCUGAGAGGGUGACCGGCCACACUGGGACUGAGAUACGGCCCAGACUCCUACGGGAGGCUGCAGUGGGGAAUAUUGCACAAUGGGCGCAAGCCUGAUGCAGCGACGCCGCGUGAGGGAUGACGGCCUUCGGGUUGUAAACCUCCUUCAGCACAGACGAAGCGCGAGUGACGGUAUGUGCAGAAGAAGGACCGGCCAACUACGUGCCAGCCGCCGCAGUAA
rnacentral:rRNA from 1 species